rnacentral:rRNA from 1 species
CACUAUCGUUAACUGAAUACAUAGGUUAACGAGGCGAACCGGGGGAACUGAAACAUCUAAGUACCCCGAGGAAAAGAAAUCAACCGAGAUUCCCCCAGUAGCGGCGAGCGAACGGGGAGCAGCCCAGAGUCUGAAUCAGCUUGUGUGUUAGUGGAACGGUCUGGAAAGUCCGACGGUACAGGGUGAUAGUCCCGUACACCAAAAUGCACAGGCUGUGAACUCGAAGAGUAGGGCGGGACACGUGGUAUCCUGUCUGAAUAUGGGGGGACCAUCCUCCAAGGCUAAAUACUCCUGACUGACCGAUAGUGAACCAGUACCGUGAGGGAAAGGCGAAAAGAACCCCGGCGAGGGGAGUGAAAAAGAACCUGAAACCGUGUACGUACAAGCAGUGGGAGCACCUUCGGGUGUGACUGCGUACCUUUUGUAUAAUGGGUCAGCGACUUAUAUUCUGUAGCAAGGUUAACCGUAUAGGGGAGCCGCAGGGAAACCGAGUCUUAACUGGGCGUUAAGUUGCAGGGUAUAGACCCGAAACCCGGUGAUCUAGCCAUGGGCAGGUUGAAGGUUGGGUAACACUAACUGGAGGACCGAACCGACUAAUGUUGAAAAAUUAGCGGAUGACUUGUGGCUGGGGGUGAAAGGCCAAUCAAACCGGGAGAUAGCUGGUUCUCCCCGAAAGCUAUUUAGGUAGCGCCUCGUGAAUUCAUCUUCGGGGGUAGAGCACUGUUUCGGCUAGGGGGUCAUCCCGACUUACCAACCCGAUGCAAACUACGAAUACCGAAGAAUGUUAUCACGGGAGACACACGGCGGGUGCUAACGUCCGUCGUGAAGAGGGAAACAACCCAGACCGCCAGCUAAGGUCCCAAAGUCACAGUUAAGUGGGAAACGAUGUGGGAAGGCACAGACAGCCAGGAUGUUGGCUUAGAAGCAGCCAUCAUUUAAAGAAAGCGUAAUAGCUCACUGGUCGAGUCGGCCUGCGCGGAAGAUGUAACGGGGCUAAACUGUGCACCGAAGCUGCGGCAGCGACACUAUGUGUUGUUGGGUAGGGGAGCGUUCUGUAAGCCUGCGAAGGUGGCCUGUGAGGGUUGCUGGAGGUAUCAGAAGUGCGAAUGCUGACAUAAGUAACGAUAAUGCGGGUGAAAAGCCCGCACGCCGGAAGACCAAGGGUUCCUGUCCAACGUUAAUCGGGGCAGGGUGAGUCGACCCCUAAGGCGAGGCCGAAAGGCGUAGUCGAUGGGAAACAGGUUAAUAUUCCUGUACUUGGUGUUACUGCGAAGGGGGGACGGAGAAGGCUAUGUUAGCCGGGCGACGGUUGUCCCGGUUUAAGCAUGUAGGCGGAGGUUCCAGGUAAAUCCGGUACCUUNNNNNNNNNNNNNNNNNNNNNNUUAACGCUGAGGUGUGAUGACGAGGCACUACGGUGCUGAAGUAACAAAUGCCCUGCUUCCAGGAAAAGCCUCUAAGCAUCAGGUAACAUUAAAUCGUACCCCAAACCGACACAGGUGGUCAGGUAGAGAAUACCAAGGCGCUUGAGAGAACUCGGGUGAAGGAACUAGGCAAAAUGGUGCCGUAACUUCGGGAGAAGGCACGCUGAUAUGUAGGUGAAGCCCCUGCGGGUGGAGCUGAAAUCAGUCGAAGAUACCAGCUGGCUGCAACUGUUUAUUAAAAACACAGCACUGUGCAAACACGAAAGUGGACGUAUACGGUGUGACGCCUGCCCGGUGCCGGAAGGUUAAUUGAUGGGGUUAUCCGUAAGGAGAAGCUCUUGAUCGAAGCCCCGGUAAACGGCGGCCGUAACUAUAACGGUCCUAAGGUAGCGAAAUUCCUUGUCGGGUAAGUUCCGACCUGCACGAAUGGCGUAAUGAUGGCCAGGCUGUCUCCACCCGAGACUCAGUGAAAUUGAACUCGCUGUGAAGAUGCAGUGUACCCGCGGCAAGACGGAAAGACCCCGUGAACCUUUACUAUAGCUUGACACUGAACAUUGAGCCUUGAUGUGUAGGAUAGGUGGGAGGCUUUGAAGCGUGGACGCCAGUCUGCGUGGAGCCAACCUUGAAAUACCACCCUUUAAUGUUUGAUGUUCUAACGU